rnacentral:lncRNA from 15 species
ACUUAUGGAGAUUGGAUUGGACAGCGUAUCCUUGACCAAGACAGAGCAUGCGCUGUUUGUCCACUACAGAUGACCGUUCUACCCUAUUGUCCUUUGUCAUGAAUGCAGUCUAUUGUACAGAGUAUAGAUUUUCAAGAAUGUAAACAUAUGGGUUAUCCUAAAAGCUACGGAGAAUUUGCCACAAGACAGAGCAUGCACGAAAUUAAACACAUAAUUUCACACUUAUAAUCUUAAAUGAUGUACAACAGCAUAACCCCAUAUAACAAUUGAAUAUAUGAUAUAAUAACAGUACAGAUAAAUGACCAGGCUAGAGCUAACAUUAAUUAAAUAGCAUAGUAGCUGGCAUAGAGGCAAAAUGGUACUCUAAGCACUUGAAUUAGGAAGAAAGAGCUGUCUCCAUACAAAACCUAAAGAACAACAAAGAGUAAGUACUUACAAGUAUUCAAGAACGCACAACAUUAAUUGGGACAACUCCGCAGCUCUGUCAGCUGUGCAAUAACGAUCACACGGCAACUGUGCUCUCUGAGGAGUAUUGCACAAAACCAAGAUAAGGGAUUAAGCCGGGAUAUGUUGGUUAUCCUGGC